rnacentral:rRNA from 1 species
GACGAACGCUGGCGGCGUGCUUAACACAUGCAAGUCGAGCGGAAAGGCUACAGCUUGCUGGCGCACUCGAUUGGCGAACGGGUGAGAAACACGUGGGGAAUCUGCCCUGCACUCUCGGAUAAGCCUUGGAAAAUGCGGCUAAUACUGGGUAUGAUCUUUCUCCCUAUGGGGUUCGGUGGAAAAUUACGCUGUUUAGGUUGAGCAUGCGCGGUUUUAGCUUGUUGUAGGGGGAACGUCCUACCAAGGCGACGACGGGCAGCCGAGCUGAGAGGAUGAUCGGCCACACUGGAACUGAGACACGGUCCAGACGCCUACGGGAGGCAGCAGUAGGGAAUGUUCGGCAAUGGGCGAAAGCCUGACGCAGCGAGGCCGCGUGUGUGAUGAAGGUCUUCGGAUCGUAAAGCCCUGUUACUUGGGAUGAACAUCUGUCAGCUGAGACGUUGCUUUAUUGACGGUACCUACAGAAGAAGCACCGGCUAACUACGUG